rnacentral:rRNA from 1 species
CGGGUGAGUAAUGUCUGGGAAACUGCCUGAUGGAGGGGGAUAACUGCUGGAAACGGUAGCUAAUACCGCAUAACGUCGCAAGACCAAAGAGGGGGACCUUCGGGCCUCUUGCCAUCGGAUGUGCCCAGAUGGGAUUAGCUAGUAGGUGGGGUAACGACUCACCUAGGCGACGAUCCCUAGCUGGUCUGAGAGGAUGACCAGCCACACUGGAACUGAGACACGGUCCAG